rnacentral:rRNA from 2 species
UCUGGUAGUUAUGGCGAGAAGGUCACACCCGUUCCCAUCCCGAACACGGUAGUUAAGCUUCUCUGCGCCAAUGGUAGUUGGGGGCUUCCCCCUGCGAG